CCUACGGGAGGCAGCAGUCGAGAAUCAUUCACAAUGGGGGAAACCCUGAUGGUGCGACGCCGCGUGGGGGAAUGAAGGUCUUCGGUUUGUAAACCCCUGUCAUGUGGGAGCAAAUUAAAAAGAUAGUCCCACAAGAGGAAGAGACGGCUAACUCUGUGCCAGCCGCCGCGGUACUACAGAGGUCUCAAGCGUUGUUCGGAAUUACUGGGAGUAAAGCGUGCGUAGGCUGUUUAGUAAGUCGUGUGUGAAAGGCGCGGGCUCAACCCGCGGACGGCACAUGAUACUGCGAGACUAGAGUAAUGGAGGGGGAACCGGAAUUCUCGGUGUAGCAGUGAAAUGCGUAGAUAUCGAGAGGAACACUCGGGGCGAAGGCGGGUUCCUGGACAGUAACUGACGCUGAGGCACGAAGGCCAGGGGAGCGAAAGGGAUUAGAUACCCGGGUAGUC
rnacentral:rRNA from 1 species